rnacentral:rRNA from 1 species
GAUGAACGCUGGCGGCGUGCUUAAUACAUGCCAGUCGAGCGAACAGACGAUGCGCUUGCUCCUCUCACGUUAGCGGCGCACGUGUGAGUAACACGUGUAUAACCUCCUUAUAUGACUGGGAUAAUCUCGAGAAACCGGAGCUAAUACCGUAUAAGAUAUUGAACCGCAUGGUUCAAUGGAGAAAGACGGCUUUGCUGUCACUUAUAGAUGCAUCUGGGCUGGAUGAGCUAGUUGGUGAGGUAACGGGUUAUCAAGGCAACGAUGCGUAGCCGAACUGAGAGAGUGAUCGCCCACACUGGAACGUAGACACGGUCAAGACUCCUACGGGAGGCAGCAGUAGGGAACGUUCCGCAAUGGGCGAAAGCUUGACGGAGCAACGCCGCGUGAGAGAUGAAGAUCUUCGGAUCGUAAAACUCUGUUAUUAGGGAAGAACAAAUGUGUAAGUAACUAUGCACGUCUUGACGGUACCUAAUCAGAAAGCAACGGCUAACUACGUG